AUACUAUGAUGAACACUUUAUCCCAAACCUGAAUUUUUUUGAUGAAACAAAAUUACGGAUCUGACUACUGAGUU